AUUUCCUUGGUGGCGCAGUAUCCUAGUCAACACCGCCGUUUCCUAAGAGGGGCCUAAAAAUCCCUUAAAGGGCAUAUCGAUGAAGUCCCUGGUGCCUGCUUUUUACGCCCAGUUUAGGGUGGGUGCUGGGGGUUAAGGUUUUCGGGCGCAUCCCAACGGCAUGGGAUAUACGACCCGGAUCCCGUGGAGACCUGUGCUUGUGCGACAGCCGAUCCCGGAUUUAUUCCCCGGACUGCGUACGACACGGGAGAUGAACCUGCAUUGCGGUGCGCAGAAUCGUGUGCUGCGUGCAGUGUAGCCUGCCUUGCGUGGAUACGUGGGGAUGGGGAAGCUAAGCGUGCUCGUCUAUGGCCAUAGAUUGAGGCGAUAUUCUCCUGAAACCAUAUCUGCAAAAGAGGAUAAGAAACGACUCGUGCUGCCGUGGAAAUCACCUAGGCUGUCCAUACGGGGCAAAUAUUGGAUUGCAGUGCGGUCUAAGUGGCAAUCGGGUACCGGUUCCUGGCAACAGAUCGGCUUGCGCAGUAAAAGGAAACUGCCUUUCCGGCGACGGGGGGGUUGCGCAUGUGGAAAACAGACCCGACCUAAGCCGUAAGUUUUACUGUAUUUGCUGCCACCUUUUCAAAAAU
rnacentral:sRNA from 1 species